rnacentral:lncRNA from 1 species
GCGCACGGCGGCGAGCGCUAUCUGGAGCUGACCGUGCGGCUCUUAAUCCCUGGCCUUGGGAAAGUGAAUUGGCCUGAAUAGCAAGGAGGAGAACUUGGGUGUGGAAAUACCGGAUUGGCACGAGGGAUACCAACACCGGAAUAUGUGAUGAGAUGUGUGAAGAGCAUGGCAAUGGAUGCAAACUCCCUUUGUGUUUCUGGCUUUAAGCAGCUCUAUACUCUCAUGCUGUCCUACACUCAGCAGCAAUUUGUCACAAGUUUGGGAAAUUCUUCCUACUCUUUUGAACUCCAGCCCAAUUUCCUUUCUAUCACUGCCCUAGGUCUUACUCUUCCAGAAGAAAAAGGGAAAACCCAACCUGAAUGUCCCCUAAAAGUGAAGAAAUGUCCACACUUCUAUGUGCAGAUUGUAGACCUUUGGAAUCUACAUUCAACAUUUGAUACUGCGUGUGACUCCUGAUGAACACGCUGAAGAUACAUGAUGUCCAGUAAUUUUUACUGGGGAUAAUACCUGCAAUAUACAUAAGAUGGUGUCAUUAAAGUACAUUUAAAAUUACACAAGACAUUUUAAAAUUACAUAAGUGUAUAUAAGGAGUUUAACACAAAUUUCAAUUACCUUGGCUUAAGAUGAUUUAGCUGUUUCGUAAGUUAACAAAGACCUACCAUUUACUUCCUACUUAGUCUAUGGCUGAAUUUGGCAUUUUUGAAAAUCUUUUGAUAGCCUCUGAGAACUUACUAUUAUUUGUACUCAUUUACUUCCUAAUGAAAGCUAUUAACAAGAUUUAUUUUAGGAAGUUUAUCUCAGACAGGUUUAUGUCCUUAUGGAGCUUUCAAUCUUAAUUUCAAAGACGAAAAGGAAAGUUGUGUGUGAAACAGCACAGAGUACUUUACAGCUUGUUGCAAGAGCUACAGGGAGCAGCAUGGACAGUGGAAACUCACAUAAAGUUCUUCAAAAUUUACUUUUUCUUUUGCUCCCUGAAAAUUGUAAUCAGUUCCUCUUUUCCUACUUAACAUGAAAAAUAAGUCCAAUGGAAUAGUCUGUUGAUUAAUAAAGUUCUAUCAUUUCUUCUUCAUGAAAUGACUAAUUUAACAAAUUAAAUCCUUCAUUUAUUAAGGUUUGUUUAUUACUUAUUUUUCCUCUAUUCCUUUCUCUGAGCUACAAAUCACAGAGAUUUAUAUUUACUUAAAAUUUUCUUAGCACUACCAAUUUGCCUAUUUAAUGAUCAUUUAUGGCCCAUCUGUUGUAUUACUUGGGAUAUUUUAAAUUGAAUUGAUAGAACUUUAUAUUCAAUUAAGUAGAAAUACCAAUUCCAGAGAAGGACUCACUAUCUUUAUUUAGACUAUGAUUUGGCUUUGUGUCCUCACCCAAAUCUCAUCUCAAAUUGUAAUCUCCACCUGUCAGGGGAGGGAUCAGGUUGGAGAUGAUUGGAUCAUGAGGGUGGUUUCCCCCACGCUGUUCUCAGGAUAUUGAGUAACUCAGGAUAGCUGAUGGUUUUAAAGUGUGGCACUUCCUCAUGCUUGCACUUCUCUCUCCUGCCACCAUGUGAAGAAGGGCCUUACUUUCCCUUUGCCUUCCACCAUGAUUGUAAGUUUUUUGAAGCCUCCCCAGCCAUGUGGAACUAUGAGUCAAUUAAACCUCUUUCUUUUAUAAAUUA